AAUAAAUCAAUAACAGAAAAUAUCAUAGAGAAGAAAGGUAGAAUUUAA
rnacentral:misc_RNA from 1 species